rnacentral:rRNA from 1 species
AGGUAAGCUACUAAGAGCGAAUGGUGGAUGCCUUGACUGGUAAAGGCGAUGAAGGACGUACUAGACUGCGAUAAGCUACGGGGAGCUGUCAAGAAGCUUUGAUCCGUAGAUUUCCGAAUGGGGCAACCCAAUGUAUAGAGAUAUACAUUACCUAUAUAGGAGCGAACGAGGGGAAUUGAAACAUCUUAGUACCCUCAGGAAAAGAAAUCAAUAGAGAUUGCGUCAGUAGCGGCGAGCGAAAGCGCAAGAGGGCAAACCCAGUGCUUGCACUGGGGGUUGUAGGACUGCAAUGUGCAAGAGCUGAGUUUAGCAGAACAUUCUGGAAAGUAUAGCCAUAGAGGGUGAUAGUCCCGUAUGCGAAAAACAAAGCUUAGCUAGCAGUAUCCUGAGUAGGGCGGGACACGAGGAAUCCUGUCUGAAUCCGGGUCGACCACGAUCCAACCCUAAAUACUAAUACCAGAUCGAUAGUGCACAAGUACCGUGAGGGAAAGGUGAAAAGAACUGAGGUGAUCAGAGUGAAAUAGAACCUGAAACCAUUUGCUUACAAUCAUUCAGAGCACUAUGUAGCAAUACAGUGUGAUGGACUGCCUUUUGCAUAAUGAGCCUGCGAGUUGUGGUGUCUGGCAAGGUUAAGCAAACGCGAAGCCGUAGCGAAAGCGAGUCUGAAUAGGGCGCUUAGUCAGAUGCUGCAGACCCGAAACGAAGUGAUCUAUCCAUGAGCAAGUUGAAGCUAGUGUAAGAACUAGUGGAGGACUGAACCCAUAGGCGUUGAAAAGCCCCGGGAUGACUUGUGGAUAGGGGUGAAAGGCCAAUCAAACUUCGUGAUAGCUGGUUCUCUCCGAAAUAUAUUUAGGUAUAGCGUUGUGUCGUAAUAUAAGGGGGUAGAGCACUGAAUGGGCUAGGGCAUACACCAAUGUACCAAACCCUAUCAAACUCCGAAUACCUUAUAUGUAAUCACAGCAGUCAGGCGGCGAGUGAUAAAAUCCGUCGUCAAGAGGGAAACAACCCAGACUACCAGCUAAGGUCCCUAAGUCUUACUUAAGUGGAAAACGAUGUGAAGUUACUUAAACAACCAGGAGGUUGGCUUAGAAGCAGCCAUCCUUUAAAGAAAGCGUAAUAGCUCACUGGUCUAGUGAUUUUGCGCGGAAAAUAUAACGGGGCUAAAGUAAGUACCGAAGCUGUAGACUUAGUUUACUAAGUGGUAGGAGAGCGUUCUAUUUGCGUCGAAGGUAUACCGGUAAGGAGUGCUGGAGCGAAUAGAAGUGAGCAUGCAGGCAUGAGUAGCGAUAAUUAAUGUGAGAAUCAUUAACGCCGUAAACCCAAGGUUUCCUACGCGAUGCUCGUCAUCGUAGGGUUAGUCGGGUCCUAAGUCGAGUCCGAAAGGGGUAGACGAUGGCAAAUUGGUUAAUAUUCCAAUACCAACAUUAGUGUGCGAUGGAAGGACGCUUAGGGCUAAGGGGGCUAGCGGAUGGAAGUGCUAGUCUAAGGUCGUAGGAGGUUAUACAGGCAAAUCCGUAUAACAAUACUCCGAGAACUGAAAGGCUUUUUGAAGUCUUCGGAUGGAUAGAAGAACCCCUGAUGCCGUCGAGCCAAGAAAAGUUUCUAAGUUUAGCUAAUGUUGCCCGUACCGUAAACCGACACAGGUGGGUGGGAUGAGUAUUCUAAGGCGCGUGGAAGAACUCUCUUUAAGGAACUCUGCAAAAUAGCACCGUAUCUUCGGUAUAAGGUGUGGUUAGCUUUGUAUUAGGAUUUACUCCGAAAGCAAGGAAACUUACAACAAAGAGUCCCUCCCGACUGUUUACCAAAAACACAGCACUCUGCUAACUCGUAAGAGGAUGUAUAGGGUGUGACGCCUGCCC